rnacentral:rRNA from 1 species
CCUUGUACACACCGCCCGUCACACCAUGGAAGUUGGUUUUACCUGAAGGCGGUGCGCUAACCCGCAAGGGAGGCAGCCGACCACGGUAGGGUCAGCGACUGGGGUG